rnacentral:rRNA from 1 species
GAUCAUGGCUCAGGAUGAACGCUAGCGGCAGGCUUAACACAUGCAAGUCGAGGGGCAGCAUAAUGGAUAGCAAUAUCUAUGGUGGCGACCGGCGCACGGGUGCGUAACGCGUAUGCAACCUACCUUUAACGAGGGGGAUAACACUGAGAAAUUGGUACUAAUACCCCAUAAUAUCAUAGAAGGCAUCUUUUAUGGUUGAAAAUUCCGAUGGUUAGAGAUGGGCAUGCGUUGUUA